rnacentral:rRNA from 1 species
UGGGGAAUAUUGGACAAUGGGCGAAAGCCUGAUCCAGCCAUGCCCGUGUGUGAAGAAGGUCUUCGGAUUGUAAAGCACUUUAAGUUGGGAGGAAGGGCAGUAAGCGAAUACCUUGCUGUUUUGACGUUACCGACAGAAUAAUCACCGGCUAACUCUGUGCCAGCAGCCGCGGUAAUACAGAGGGUGCAAGCGUUAAUCGGAAUUACUGGGCGUAAAGCGCGCGUAGGUGGUUCGUUAAGUUGAAUGUGAAAGCCCCGGGCUCAACCUGGGAACUGCAUCCAAAACUGGCGGGCUAGAGUAGGGCAGAGGGUGGUGGAAUUUCCUGUGUAGCGGUGAAAUGCGUAGAUAUAGGAAGGAACACCAGUGGCGAAGGCGACCACCUGGGCUCAUACUGACACUGAGGUGCGAAAGCGUGGGGAGCAAACAGG